CCUACGGGAGGCAGCAGUGAGGAAUAUUGGUCAAUGGGCUUACGCCUGAACCAGCCAAGUCGCGUGAGGGAAGACUGCCCUAUGGGUUGUAAACCUCUUUUGUCAGGGAGCAAUUGGCGCUACGUGUAGCGUUAUCGAGAGUACCUGAAGAAAAAGUAUCGGCUAACUCCGUGCCAGCAGCCGCGGUAAUACGCAGGAUGCGAGCGUUAUCCGGAUUUAUUGGGUUUAAAGGGUGCGUAGGCGGAAUGCCAAGUCAGCGGGAAAAUCGCGGGGCUCAACCUCGCCCCGCCGUUGAAACUGGCGUUCUUGAGUGGGCGAGAGGUAGGCGGAAUGCGUGGUGUAGCGGUGAAAUGCAUAGAUAUCACGCAGAACUCCGAUUGCGAAGGCAGCAUACCGGCGCCCAACUGACGCUGAAGCACGAAAGCGUGGGUAUCGAACAGGAUUAGAUACCCUGGUAGUC
rnacentral:rRNA from 1 species